UCUUGGUUUCAGUUUCGGGAUA
rnacentral:siRNA from 1 species